rnacentral:lncRNA from 1 species
UUGGCUCCUCAUGGCAUCCCAAAGGCGGUUAUGACCGCUUCGCCAUGAAGUUACCACCUCAGACAACGCUAGAUGGCACAAGGAGAGGAGUUUGAGGGGAAUAUUCCCUUGGGAUGCUAGGAGCAACUCCACUAUCCCAAGGCACCUCCACACUAUAAAUAGGACCCCCUACCCCCUUUGUCGACACACCACACAAGAAGAGCUUAGAGCUACAUUCCAAAGGUGAAGCGCUGCCUA